rnacentral:tRNA from 1 species
UGUUAUGUGGCUUAGUUGGUUAAAGCGCCGGUCUAGCGAAUACGGAGUCAUGGGUUGGAAUCCCACCAGAACGC